GACGAACGCUGGCGGCGUGCCUAAUACAUGCAAGUUGAGCGCUGAAGGUUGGUCCUUGUACCAACUGGAUGAGCAGCGAACGGGUGAGUAACGCGUGGGGAAUCUGCCUUUGAGCGGGGGACAACAUUUGGAAACGAAUGCUAAUACCGCAUAAAAACUUUAAACACAAGUUUUAAGUUUGAAAGAUGCACUUGCAUCACUCAAAGAUGAUCCCGCGUUGUAUUAGCUAGUUGGUGAGGUAAAGGCUCACCAAGGCGAUGAUACAUAGCCGACCUGAGAGGGGGAUCGGCCACAUUGGGACUGAGACAAGGCCCAAACUUCUACGGGAGGCAGCAGUAGGGAAUCUUCGGCAAGGGACGAAAGGCUGACCGAGCAACGCCGCGUGAGUGAAGAAGGGUUUCGGAUCGGAAAACUCUGUUGGUAGAGAAGAACGUUGGUGAGAGUGGAAAGCGCAUCAAGUGACGGUAACUACCCAGAAAGGGACGGCUAACUACGUG
rnacentral:rRNA from 1 species